AUACACGCUGGCGGCGUGCUUCACACAUGCCAGUCGAACGAAGUUUUUCUUUCGGGAGGAACUUAGUGGCGGACGGGUGAGUAACGCGUGGGUAACCUGCCCUGUACAGGGGGACAACAGCUGGAAACGGCUGCUAAUACCGCAUAAGCCCUUAGCACUGCAUGGUGCAUAGGGAAAAGGAGCAAUCCGGUACAGGAUGGACCCGCGUCUGAUUAGCCAGUUGGCAGGGUAACGGCCUACCAAAGCGACGAUCAGUAGCCGAUCUGAGAGGAUGUACGGCCACAUUGGGACUGAGACACGGCCCAGACUCCUACGGGAGGCAGCAGUGGGGAAUAUUGCACAAUGGAGGAAACUCUGAUGCAGCGACGCCGCGUGAGUGAAGAAGUAUUUCGGUAUGUAAAGCUCUAUCAGCAGGAAAGAAAAUGACGGUACCUGACUAAGAAGCACCGGCUAAAUACGUG
rnacentral:rRNA from 1 species